AACGAACGCUGGCGGCAGGCUUAACACAUGCAAGUCGAGCGCGUAGCAAUACGAGCGGCAGACGGGUGAGUAACACGUGGGAAUCUACCCAUCACUAGGGAAUAACUCAGGGAAACUUGUGCUAAUACCCUAUACGACCGAGAGGUGAAAGAUUUAUCGGUGAUGGAUGAGCCCGCGUUGGAUUAGCUAGUUGGUGGGGUAAGGGCCUACCAAGGCGACGAUCCAUAGCUGGUCUGAGAGGAUGAUCAGCCACACUGGGACUGAGACACGGCCCAGACUCCUACGGGGGCAGCAGUGGGGGAUAUUGGACAAUGGGCGCAAGCCUGAUCCAGCCAUGCCGCGUGAGUGAUGAAGGUCUUAGGAUUGUAAAGCUCUUUCACCGGUGAAGAUAAUGACGGUAACCGGAGAAGAAGCCCCGGCUAACUUCGUGCCAGCAGCCGCAGUAA
rnacentral:rRNA from 1 species